GUUGGUGAGGUAAUGGCUCACCAAGGCUAUGACGCCUAACUGGUUUGAGAGGAUGAUCAGUCACACUGGAACUGAGACACGGUCCAGACUCCUACGGGAGGCAGCAGUGGGGAAUAUUGCACAAUGGACGAAAGUCUGAUGCAGCAACGCCGCGUGGAGGAUGACACAUUUCGGUGCGUAAACUCCUUUUAUAUAGGAAGAUAAUGACGGUACUAUAUGAAUAAGCACCGGCUAACUCCGUGCCAGCAGCCGCGGUAAUACGGAGGGUGCAAGCGUUAUCCGGAUUUAUUGGGUUUAAAGGGUGCGUAGGCGGUUAUUUAAGUCAGUGGUGAAAGUUUUCGGCUCAACCGGAAAAUUGCCAUCGAUACUGGAUAGCUGGAAUAUGGUUGCUGUGAGUAGAAUGUGUGGUGUUGCGGUGAAAUGCAUAGAUAUCACACAGAAUACCGAUUGCGAAGGCAUCUCACAAAGCCAUCAUUGACGCUGAGGCACGAAAGUGUGGGGAUCAAACAGGAUUAGAUACCCUGAUAGUCCACACUGUAAACGAUGAUAACUAGCUGUUGGCGAUACACAGUCAGUGGCCAAGCGAAAGCGAUAAGUUAUCCACCUGGGGAGUACGACCGCAAGGUUGAAACUCAAAGGAAUUGACGGGGGCCCGCACAAGCGGAGGAACAUGUGGUUUAAUUUCGAUGAUACGCGAGGAACCUUACCCGGGCUCGAACGGUGCAGGAAUAUUUCAGAGAUGGAAUAGCUAGCAAUAGUCUGUAUCGAGGUGCUGCAUGGUGUCGUCAGCUCGUGCCGUGAGUGUCGCU
rnacentral:rRNA from 1 species